rnacentral:piRNA from 1 species
UCCUGCAGAUGAACAGCCAUUGGGGUA